AGGACGAACGCUGGCGGCGUGCUUAACACAUGCAAGUCGAGCGGUAAGGCCUUUCGGGGUACACGAGCGGCGAACGGGUGAGUAACACGUGGGUGAUCUGCCCUGCACUUCGGGAUAAGCCUGGGAAACUGGGUCUAAUACCGGAUAUGACCUCCUAUCGCAUGGUGGGUGGUGGAAAGAUUUAUCGGUGCGAGGAUGGGCCCGCGGCCUAGUCAGUCUUGGUUGGUGGGGUAAUGGCCUACCGAAGGCGACGACGGGUAGCCGACCGUGAGAGGGUGACCGGCCACACGUGGGACUGAGACACGGCCCAGACCUCCGUACGGGAGGCAGCAGGUGGGAAUAUUGCACAAGUGGGACGAAAGCCUGAUGCAGGCGACGCCGGCGGUGGAGGGA
rnacentral:rRNA from 1 species